CCAGUUACAAAGCGAACGGGGAAUCACGGAAGCCGGUGCGAAUCCGGCGCGGCCCCGCCACUGUAACGGGCACGAUCGUAACGGCUCACGGCCACUGGGGGUGUUCACCCGGGAAGGCGAGCCGAUCGCCCGAAGCCAGGAGACCUCUCCGUUCGCGCCACCUGUC
rnacentral:ncRNA from 1 species